UACGUAGGGUGCAAGCGUUGUUCGGAAUUACUGGGCGUAAAGGGCGCGUAGGCGGCCGCCUAAGUCAGGCGUGAAAUCCCUCGGCUCAACCGGGGAACUGCGUCUGAUACUGGGUGGCUUGAAUCCGGGAGAGGGAUGCGGAAUUCCAGGUGUAGCGGUGAAAUGCGUAGAGAUCAGGAGGAACACCUGUGGUGUAGGCAGCUUACUGGACGAUAACUGACGCUGAGGCACGAAAGCGUGGGUAGCAAACAGG
rnacentral:rRNA from 1 species